CAUAGCGGAGGAAAAGAAACUAACAAGGAUUCCCCUAGUAACGGCGAGUGAAGCGGGAAGAGCUCAAAUUUGAAAUCUGGCAGUCUUCGAUUGUCCGAGUUGUAAUCUAUAGAGGCGUUUUCCGUGCCGGACCGUGUCCAAGUCUCCUGGAAAGGAGUAUCAAAGAGGGUGAUAAUCCCGUACUUAACACGACCACCGGUGCUCUGUGAUACGUCUUCUACGAGUCGAGUUGUUUGGGAAUGCAGCUCAAAAUGGGUGGUGAAUUCCAUCUAAAGCUAAAUAUUGGCGAGAGACCGAUAGCGAACAAGUACCGUGAGGGAAAGAUGAAAAGCACUUUGGAAAGAGAGUUAAACAGUACGUGAAAUUGUUGAAAGGGAAACGAUUGAAGUCAGUCGUGUUCUUUGGAUUCAGCCAGUUCUGCUGGUCUACUUCCUUGGAACGGGUCAACAUCAGUUUUGUCCGGUGGAUAAAGGUAGUAGGAAUGUGACUUCUCCGGAAGUGUUAUAGCCUAUUAUCACAUACACUGGGUGAGACUGAGGACUGCAGCUCGCCUUUAUGGCCGGCCUUCGGGCACGUUCGAGCUUAGGAUGUUGACAU
rnacentral:rRNA from 1 species